AUGCGUUGUUGGGUAGGGGAGCGUUCUGUAAGCCUGCGAAGGUAUGCUGUGAGGCAUGCUGGAGGUAUCAGAAGUGCGAAUGCUGACAUAAGUAACGAUAAAGCGGGUGAAAAGCCCGCUCGCCGGAAGACCAAGGGUUCCUGUCCAACGUUAAUCGGGGCAGGGUGAGUCGACCCCUAAGGCGAGGCCGAAAGGCGUAGUCGAUGGGAAACAGGUUAAUAUUCCUGUACUUGGUGUUACUGCGAAGGGGGGACGGAGAAGGCUAUGUUGGCCGGGCGACGGUUGUCCCGGUUUAAGCGUGUAGGCUGGUUUUCCAGGCAAAUCCGGAAAAUCAAGGCUGAGGCGUGAUGACGAGGCACUACGGUGCUGAAGCAACAAAUGCCCUGCUUCCAGGAAAAGCCUCUAAGCAUCAGGUAACAUCAAAUCGUACCCCAAACCGACACAGGUGGUCAGGUAGAGAAUACCAAGGCGCUUGAGAGAACUCGGGUGAAGGAACUAGGCAAAAUGGUGCCGUAACUUCGGGAGAAGGCACGCUGAUAUGUAGGUGAAGUCCCUCGCGGAUGGAGCUGAAAUCAGUCGAAGAUACCAGCUGGCUGCAACUGUUUAUUAAAAACACAGCACUGUGCAAACACGAAAGUGGACGUAUACGGUGUGACGCCUGCCCGGUGCCGGAAGGUUAAUUGAUGGGGUUAGCGCAAGCGAAGCUCUUGAUCGAAGCCCCGGUAAACGGCGGCCGUAACUAUAACGGUCCUAAGGUAGCGAAAUUCCUUGUCGGGUAAGUUCCGACCUGCACGAAUGGCGUAAUGAUGGCCAGGCUGUCUCCACCCGAGACUCAGUGAAAUUGAACUCGCUGUGAAGAUGCAGUGUACCCGCGGCAAGACGGAAAGACCCCGUGAACCUUUACUAUAGCUUGACACUGAACAUUGAGCCUUGAUGUGUAGGAUAGGUGGGAGGCUUUGAAGUGUGGACGCCAGUCUGCAUGGAGCCGACCUUGAAAUACCACCCUUUAAUGUUUGAUGUUCUAACGUUGACCCGUAAUCCGGGUUGCGGACAGUGUCUGGUGGGUAGUUUGACUGGGGCGGUCUCCUCCUAAAGAGUAACGGAGGAGCACGAAGGUUGGCUAAUCCUGGUCGGACAUCAGGAGGUUAGUGCAAUGGCAUAAGCCAGCUUGACUGCGAGCGUGACGGCGCGAGCAGGUGCGAAAGCAGGUCAUAGUGAUCCGGUGGUUCUGAAUGGAAGGGCCAUCGCUCAACGGAUAAAAGGUACUCCGGGGAUAACAGGCUGAUACCGCCCAAGAGUUCAUAUCGACGGCGGUGUUUGGCACCUCGAUGUCGGCUCAUCACAUCCUGGGGCUGAAGUAGGUCCCAAGGGUAUGGCUGUUCGCCAUUUAAAGUGGUACGCGAGCUGGGUUUAGAACGUCGUGAGACAGUUCGGUCCCUAUCUGCCGUGGGCGCUGGAGAACUGAGGGGGGCUGCUCCUAGUACGAGAGGACCGGAGUGGACGCAUCACUGGUGUUCGGGUUGUCAUGCCAAUGGCACUGCCCGGUAGCUAAAUGCGGAAGAGAUAAGUGCUGAAAGCAUCUAAGCACGAAACUUGCCCCGAGAUGAGUUCUCCCUGACUCCUUGAGAGUCCUGAAGGAACGUUGAAGACGACGACGUUGAUAGGCCGGGUGUGUAAGCGCAGCGAUGCGUUGAGCUAACCGGUACUAAUGAACCGUGAGGCUUAACCUUACAACGCCGAAGCUGUU
rnacentral:rRNA from 1 species